rnacentral:rRNA from 1 species
CCUACGAGCGGCAGCAGUGGGGAAUAUUGCACAAUGGGGGAAACCCUGAUGCAGCGACGCCGCGUGAGUGAAGAAGAAUCUCGGUACGUAACGCUCUAUCAGCAGGGAAAAAAAUGACGGUACCUGACUAAGAAGCCCCGUCUAACUACGUGCCAGCAGCCGCGGUAAUACGGAGGGGGCAAGCGUUAUCCGGAUUUACUGGGUGUAAAGGGAGCGUAGACGGCAGCUCAAGUCUGGAGUGAAAUCCCGGGGCUUAACCCCGGAACUGCUUUGGAAACUGUGCGGCUGGAGUGCAGGAGGGGUAAGCGGAAUUCCUAGUGUAGCGGUGAAAUGCGUAGAUAUUAGGAGGAACACCGGUGGCGAAGGCGGCUUACUGGACUGUAACUGACGUUGAGGCUCGAAAGCGUGGGGAGCAAACAGGAUUAGAUACCCGGGUAGUC